rnacentral:rRNA from 1 species
GUGAGGAAUAUUGGUCAAUGGACGCAAGUCUGAACCAGCCACGUCGCGUGAAGGAAGACGGCCCUACGGGUUGUAAACUUCUUUUGUAAGGGAAUAAAGUGCAGUACGCGUACUGUUUUGCAUGUACCUUACGAAUAAGGAUCGGCUAACUCCGUGCCAGCAGCCGCGGUAAUACGGAGGAUCCGAGCGUUAUCCGGAUUUAUUGGGUUUAACGGGUGCGCAGGCGGGAGAUUAAGUCGGCGGUGAAAUUUUGCAGCUCAACUGUAAAAGUGCCUUCGAGACUGGUUUCCUUGAGUGUGGAUGAAGUAGGCGGAAUUUGUGGUGUAGCGGUGAAAUGCAUAGAUAGCACGAGGAACUCCGAUUGCGCAGGCAGCUUACUAAGCCAUAACUGACGCUCAGGCACGAAGGCGUGGGGAUCAAACAGGAUUAGAAACCCGGGUAGUCC